UUCAAAUAUUAAAUCAAACAAAAAAGCUUGAAUAUGGAAUUUAAUCGUCAAGAAUAUGAUAUAUGGAAAAUGGAGAGCAAGUUUGUCCCAGUCGAGCACACUUGACUGCAGAUUUUCAACUUGUUCUUAUUAAAUUAACUAAUAUGUUGAAAUUAAUAAAAUAUUUUAAAAACAAUUUUCAUUAAAAAUAUAUCUGGUUCCAUGUGACAAUGGCUGACCUUGACUUCAAAAAACUCACUCGUAUAGGUGGCAGUCAGUAGAAUG